GUGGCGGCGUGGCCGAGUGGUUUAGGGCGCUGGAUUUGAAAUCUGGAGGUCCCUGCUUCAAAUUCUUCACCCUGCCACU
rnacentral:tRNA from 1 species